ACUCCUACGGGAGGCAGCAGUAAGGAAUAUUGGUCAAUGGACGAAAGUCUGAACCAGCCAUGCCGCGUGAAGGAUUAAGGCCCUCUGGGUUGUAAACUUCUUUUAUCUGGGACGAAAAAAGGGUAUUCUUACUCACUUGACGGUACCAGAGGAAUAAGCACCGGCUAACUCCGUGCCAGCAGCCGCGGUAAUACGGAGGGUGCAAGCGUUAUCCGGAUUUACUGGGUUUAAAGGGUGCGUAGGUGGGUUUGUAAGUCAGUGGUGAAAUCUCCGAGCUUAACUCGGAAACUGCCGUUGAUACUAUAAAUCUUGAAUUAUAUGGAGGUAAGCGGAAUAUGUCAUGUAGCGGUGAAAUGCUUAGAUAUGACAUAGAACACCAAUUGCGAAGGCAGCUUACUACGUAUUUAUUGACACUGAGGCACGAAAGCGUGGGGAUCAAACAGGAUUAGAUACCCUGGUAGUC
rnacentral:rRNA from 1 species